GAUGAACGCUGGCGGCGUGCCUAAUACAUGCAAGUCGAGCGAACAGACGAGGAGCUUGCUCCUCUGACGUUAGCGGCGGACGGGUGAGUAACACGUGGAUAACCUACCUAUAAGACUGGGAUAACUUCGGGAAACCGGAGCUAAUACCGGAUAAUAUAUUGAACCGCAUGGUUCAAUAGUGAAAGACGGUUUUGCUGUCACUUAUAGAUGGAUCCGCGCCGCAUUAGCUAGUUGGUAAGGUAACGGCUUACCAAGGCAACGAUGCGUAGCCGACCUGAGAGGGUGAUCGGCCACACUGGAACUGAGACACGGUCCAGACUCCUACGGGAGGCAGCAGUAGGGAAUCUUCCGCAAUGGGCGAAAGCCUGACGAAGCAACGCCGCGUGAGUGAUGAAGGUCUUCGGAUCGUAAAACUCUGUUAUUAGGGAAGAACAAAUGUGUAAGUAACUAUGCACGUCUUGACGGUACCUAAUCAGAAAGCCACGGCUAACUACGUG
rnacentral:rRNA from 1 species